rnacentral:tRNA from 4 species
CGGAGCGUGGCGCAGUCUGGUAGCGCACUUGUCUGGGGGACAAGGGGUCGUGGGUUCGAAUCCCGCCGCUCCGACCA